UACGGGGGGGGCAAGCGUUGUUCGGAAUUACUGGGCGUAAAGGGCUCGUAGGUGGCCAACUAAGUCAGACGUGAAAUCCCUCAGCUUAACUGGGGAACUGCGUCUGAUACUGGAUGGCUUGAGUUUGGGAGAGGGAUGCGGAAUUCCAGGUGUAGCGGUGAAAUGCGUAGAUAUCUGGAGGAACACCGGUGGCGAAGGCGGCAUCCUGGACCAAAUCUGACGCUGAGGAGCGAAAGCCAGGGGAGCAAACGGG
rnacentral:rRNA from 1 species